UACGUAGGGGGCGAGCGUUGUCCGGAAUUAUUGGGCGUAAAGCGCGUGUAGGCGGCCCGGUAAGUCAGCUGUGAAAGUCCAGGGCUCAACCCUGGGAUGCCGGUGGAUACUGUCGGGCUCGAGUCCGGAAGAGGCGAGUGGAAUUCCAGGUGUAGCGGUGAAAUGCGUAGAUAUCUGGAGGAAUACCGGUGGCGAAGGCGGCAUCCUGGACCGACAUUGACGCUGAGGAGCGAAAGCUAGGGGAGCAAACGGG
rnacentral:rRNA from 1 species